ACAGUACUUCAUAUCAGUGAAUAAAAAUACUAGAAUCUCAUGAAGAGUGACAACCCAGAAGUAACAGACAUCAUCAAACUUGUAUAUUCCAUUUAAAAAUUGAUAGUUCUUUACUAGCAUGUGUGCAGUUAGGAAUUGUCUAGCUCUACAUCUUUCCUCAGUAAUCUCCAACCUCAUAUCAUGACAGAUCUCUUGUAGCCUACUCUUGGAUUUUUAGAACAGAUUUUUACCCUCUCAAAGAGGUAUUUUCCCAGAGUCAUAUGGAGUUGCUAAAUUUUCUACUUGGCAAGUGUACUAUUCAGUGAUACCUGAAUUGAAAGGGAUAUAGAACACUAACUAAAUCAAGGAGACCAGUAUAUUUGGGGGGGGGGGGGGGCAAGGGAUAGUACCUUAAUAAAUUAGGUUAGGAUGUUAAUAACUUCCUAACCAGUCUCCCUCAUCUGCCUUGGUCCUUUUAAUCAUGUGCUUCAUUCUGUGACUAGAGAAAUGUUUUCAAAACCUAAAUUGUUACUGAGUACUCUUAGGAGACUAGCUCCCUUCUGUGACCUUGCCUUGCUUUAUGCUACCCAUUCCUCUGUGCGUUGCAACUGUACUGUCCAUCUUCUCCACAGAACCUCCUUUACUUCCCUUUUUAAAUGAAUAAUUGACUCUUAUCCUUAGAACCUCAUUUAAACCUCAUUGCAGUCCCAGCUAUCUGAAUCCAUUUCACCCUUUAUAGAUUCAUUGUACCAUGAACCUCUCCUUCAUGGUAUUUAUUCAACAGAUACAUGUAAGAAUAGACUAUUUGUCUCUUUUUCCACUAAAUAUUUCUCAAGCAAAGACCUUACUUGUCAUUUACUACCUUGUUACUUUUGUACUAUGUAUCUAGUAUAAUCCUCAUCCCUAAUAAAAGAUUAGUAAAGAUUUUGAUUGUAAAAAGGAAUGAAUGUAUGUGGACUAUAGAUAGCCAAUAUUAUUCAUCAUCCCUUGGUUGAUGUUAGAUACUUUUGACUUUUGAGCAGUUUUAUCACUCUCUUUUUCACUAACAUCAUUUAGCACUUUUUGGUGCAUGGCAUUAUGUCAAGAAUUCAUUAAUUUAGUCAUUCAGCAAACAUGCACCUGUCAAACAUUGUGCUUGGCAUGCAGGGAGGAAUGACUAGAAGAAGCAAAUCUCAAGGUGUACAUUGACUAAUGAAAGACAUGGGGACCAACUGUUGAGAUUUAUGGGGUAAGUGUUAGAAGAAUAUGAAUCUGCAUACGAUGCUAUAGGAAAAACAAAAAGAAAAGCUAUUGAAUUCCUGAGUCAGAGAAGUCCUUGGAGCAGGAAUUAUAUUUGAAUGGCUUUUACAAGAGGAGAAAGAGAGUUUCUCAGUAUGAGUAUAGAAUGUAGAAGGAAGGUUUGGGGGCAUGAGAAAUAGUAUGUACAAAAGCACCGAGGUAAGAAACAUCUGAUACAUUGGAAAAAGUAGGUAGUAGGGAAUAUGAAGGAGAAUAGUGGGAAAUGAGAUUACAGCAGUAAACAGUUGCCAGGUCCUAGGGAUUUGAUUACUUGACAAUUAUGUAGUAGGAAACUAUGGAAAGGUUUAGACAGGGGGAAGACAUGAUCACACUGGUGUUCCAGAGAAGUAAUUCCAGAAACUAUAAAUGGAGCAAAUCAGAAAUACAUAAUAGGUGUAAUUAUAGUGGGAACUGAAAAGUGGAUUCAUGUUUAAUUUCAGUGAUAAAAUGGAAAAACCAAAAAUAAGAUUCAUGAGCAAUACCAGUUUACCAGCAUUGAAUUAAAAUCCCUUGAAGUACAGCUGCUCUGCUGGAUGUCUUGUAGGAAUGACUGACUGCAGGGUGCCUGCUGUAUAGUGAACUUAAUUAGAGUGAAUCUUAGCAACCUAAGCAGAAUAAUUUUAAGAGAGUACUGAAGAAUGGCUUCAAACAGCGCACUAAAAACCAAACCUCCAGGAAAUCAUAGCAGCCUGAUAAUGUAGUAAUCGAAAAAUCUUUAAGCAAAGGUCUUCUGUAUUCCACACAAAAUACAUAAAGAAGCUAUAUGCAAAUUUUUCUCAAUCCCUAAAAUGGUGAUUACAGCCACAAUCCAAAGGAUAAAUUCUGUUAUACAGUGUGAGUAGUAUGAUUUAGACCUUAUAUCACAAAUACACUGGUCUUGUUCUCACCUACAAGUCAUGUAUGCAUAACUUACAGAUGCCAAAGAGGGGCAAGGGUGGGUCACUGGUGAUGGGGUCGGGUGAUAUAUAGAAUUCCGUCUAGAAGAGACAAACUCCAUAACUUCUGAUUUUACUAACACUCUUAAAGUAGGAAAGCAACACUUAACUCCUGAGUAGAUCCACAGAUUGUAAACCGAGCAUGUAGAACUGUACACAGUAAACUAAACCUGUGAAUUUAAAAAAUUAAUAAGGCAAAAACUUGUCUAUCAGAUAGGAAGUUAGGAUCAAUCAACAAUUAUAAGAAAUGAGUUUGUUCCCCUCUAGGCAAGUGAAUAUUUAGAGCUUAAAAAGCUCUAAAUAUUUGAAGAUUAAUAUUUUUCCCUCUAAAAUAAGUUAUAGUCCCUGGUUUUAUUGAUAUUUAUCGUAUACGGACAGGACCAUAAUUAGAGGUUUUUAUAUAAAUCCUAUUAUUUUGGCCUAUUUUAAAUUACCAAACUGAGUAUCUUCUUCAUUACUUCCUACCAUCACCUCUACAUAGUUUCUUUCAGUUGGUUAAAAUGCUAUAGACAGAAUGUAUUAUGUUUAAAAAAAAGAUGGAUUUUCAAUCUUACCUCAUUUUCUAGCAUAAAAGAUCUCUUCAUUUGCUCACAGUAUAUUUGUAUAUUUAAACACUUAAGAAUUCAAUCAUAAAUUCCAUUGCAUCCUUUAACUUUUUAAGAUCUUAAAAGCUAAAGCCUUUAGGACAUAAUUUAAGUCCUCAAACAAGCAUUUAUUUUAGGUGUGUUCAGGAGCUACCUACCACAACCCUUCAAUUACAGUUCAAAACACAGUUCUGACGUAGACCCAUAUGGUAUAAUUAAGGCAAUUCUUGGAGUAAGCUAGAAAUCUGAAGUUGACCUGAUUUCAAACUAUCACAUAUCCAUACUUUCGGGGGGACAUUCAUAAACUACUGAGCUGUGAAAAUACACAAGACCUAAAAUUACAUAUUGAGACAUAAAUUUGAGUUUAGCUAUUUCUGCCUUAGGAUUACUUGCCCCAAAUCUUCUGGUUUCAUCCAACUCUUUCUUUCAGGAACUCCUUUGUUUGGCUCAUCUUUUCCAAAUAACCUCCUUUAGUAGCCAGUUCCUUGAACGAGUAAUAAAGCCAUUGAUAGUCCCUAGACAGAUAGCCAGAAGUUUAGGGUUGGUGAAACCAGCAACUCUAAAGGAACACUCAUGUAGUACUGAGUCCCACAUUCUCCUUACAUACAGCUGUAAGAGGAGCAUAUAGUAGGAACAUGUCAGCAUGACAGAGUGUUAUAGUGGUGGCUCAGAAUGUGAGUGGAGCAGUUGACAGUCCAUACAUCAGGUUUAUCAACAAUAAUAGUUGACUAUACACUUGUGUAGUCUAAGAAGUUCAAGACCAUUUUCCUUGGAGAGUGAUUGUUCAGUUGUUAUAUAAUCUCUAACUUACUGAUACUAAAAACUUUUGAAUUAAAUUAACCUGGGAGAAAACAGAUAUAGGUUGCCAAAUAAAAACUAGAAUGCUAGUAGUGAUUGAUUUUUUUUAACCUGAUGAGUAAAGACUAGAAUAUAUAGUAAAAUAUUUCCAUAGCAAGUGUAUUUUAUAUGGUACUUUCAAACAUGUUUGCCUUAGAGCUAAAGAGAGUGUGGAUUAGGUGUCUCUAAAAGAAUGGAGUUUAAUUUGAAUGCAUACUGUGAAAAUAAACAAAUUACAUUCAAAUUUUUAAUAAUUAAUAUUUAAUAUUUCCUAUGCUAUAUAUACAAAACUUGUGCCUCCAGAGAGCCUAAAAAUUGGUUAAAUUAAAUCAGACAAAAACACAUGUAGGGCUGAGGUUGUGGCUCAGUGGUAGAGCGCUUGCCUAGCAUGUCAUGAGGCACUGGUUUUUGAGUCUCAGCACCAUAUAUAAAUAAAUAAAUUAAAUAAAGGUUCAUCAACAUCUAAAAAGAAUUUAAAAAGUACUGGCAUUUCAAGGUGAGAUGAAAUUAUGGAGAAAUUUGAAAGCUAAUAGUUUGGUCUUCAGGCAGAACCAGGUACUUGCUGGGUAUUCUAGACCAGACGGAUAACAUGAAGACAGUGACAUUUUUAAAACAUUGAUUUUUAUUAGAGCACUUAGCAUUGAUCAGUAUAGGUAGUUGAAUAAAAUUUUAAUACAGUGAAAGUAGGAAAGGGUUUGUUUUUUUUUUUUUGAGACAUUUUAAAGAAGUACAUAGGUUUUUGUGGGAAGGUAGACAAAUUGGAUAAAAAAUUGAAGAGUUAGAUCCUUUGGGGUUUAAGCUUCAAUGAAUGAAGUUGCCUGUGAUAAACUACAGUUGUUUUCAUGUCAAUAUAUUAAGGAGUAUAGAUGAAAUUAUGAGAUGGAAUGAGCUGGAAGCAUCCCAUAGACUUGGAUGCCUUAAAUUGUGAACCUUUAAUGUGGUAAGGAGUAGCCAAGCCCAGUGGUACACAUCUUUAAUCCUAGCAACUCAGAGGCUAAGGCAGAAGGAUCAUAGGACAACCUCAGGAACUUAGGCCAUAGCAAUUUAGCAAGACACUGUCUUAAAAAAUAAGAAGGGCUGGAGAUAUAGCUUAGUGAUAAAGGCCCCUGUGUUCAAUCCCCAGAAUCAAAAAUAAAAUGGUGAAAGGAUAUUGAUGAAAGAACAGAGAGCUCACUGGAGAAGUGGGUGUGUCACCUGUUGAACUAGUAGUUAGCAAUGGUAAGGUAUCUCAAUUUAGAGACUGGCCUGUCUCUCUCUAGGAAAGCUUAUGUGGUAUCUAGUCUUAGAAGAUAAAUUAAGGAAUAAUUACAUUUAAAAUAAUCAUUCCUUUUAAAAGCGGUAUUCAUCAUAAAGUUUAUUUUAAAUAGCUUAAUUUAACUUCUUAAUUUAAAAGACAAUGAUUUACCAAAAUUUUAUUAGUAUGUGGGCUUUAGAGCUGCACUUAUAGGGCAACUGCAUUCAGUUAACUAUUCCAGACCAAAAAAUGCUAAAAAAAAAAAAAGCUGUAAUAAAGUGGAAAAAAAAUGUUAUCAGGAAAAAUAUUUUCAGUGGGGGAAAAUUCGUUUUUAAAUAACUGUACAUCGUGCCUUGUGGCAAUAAAAGACUUUCCACUGUUUUCUACACUAUUUGAUCAUUUCUGAGAAUUCCUUUUCUCCCCUCCCUACUUUAUAGGUGUAUUUAGCCCGAAAGGAAGGAUCAUCUUCUGCUUAUGUUUCCUGGAAGUUUGAAUGUGGGUCAGUUGGCCUAAAAGUGGAUACCAUUUCUAUUAGAACAAGUAGUCAAACUUUCCAGACUGGAAUAAUAAAGUGGAAAUUGCAGUCUGAUACAGCUCAAGUAGACCUGACAGGCGGUAAGUAAGCAUUUGACUGGAAAAUUAAUUAUGAAGUAUUUAUUUACCGCUCUAAGACUGCUUGUACUUGUAGCUCUGACUUUUUCAUACUGAAAAGUUGUUCAUACUUUUGAGGUAAAAAUGUUUUUUUUUAAAUAAAAACCUGUUUUUAAAUAAAAAUCUGUAUCAGAAAGGCUGAUGUUUUUUGUGGUUGAGCAUAAAUGCAAGAAGAAAAACUAUUUCUUUGCUUCAAAGGAUGCAUUUCCUCCAAAGAGAAUAAUAUGCAUUUGUAUUUUUUUAAGGGUUGAUUUUAGCCUACAAGUCACCCUAUAGAAAAUGCAUUCUAAAACUAUUUCUUCUAUUUCUUUAUGUCUGUAAAAAUACCAAAAGCAAAGUGUUAAUUUUUUUCCCCCCUCCAACAGAUAAAAGUCUUCGCUCCUAUCAUGAUUUUUCUGGUGCCACUGGAGUUAUUUUGGAAGCAGAAUUAAGCAGAGGAGAUGGUGAUGUUGCUUGGCAACAUACCCAGCUGUUUAGACAAAGCUUAAAUGACCAUGAAGAAAAUUGUUUGGAGAUAAUUAUAAAAUUCACUGACCUUUGAGAACCUGAAUAUUAUAGAAAAGCUGGCAAUAAUCAAGAACUUACCAUGGCCUAAAGUAGUCUGUUGAUUCAGUGCAUGCUUAGUUGGCAAUUUACUACCCUCUGCUAGCAUAUUUCUUUUGCUGGCUAUCCAUCAUGUAACCCUUGUUAACAUAUAUCUUUAUACUGUGGACCAUAAUGAAAUCUUGAAUUAAAAACUCCCUUCCAUACGUGAUUAUAAUUUGGCAUAACAUUUUGUGCCCCCAUAUAAGAUUUUAAUCUAAAUAACGUAAGUAUAGUUUUAAAAGUAAAAUGAUGGUAUUCAUGAUUAUAUACUGUUCAUGAUUGUGAUAAAAUCUUGGGCUAAAAGUAAUUUAACAUUUUCUGAUGAGCCAUUAAUUUCUUUAUAAGUGGUUUGAAUUAGAUUUUCCUAAGGUUCUUAAUUUUUAACAAAUGUGAAAGUACAGUAUGUCAUAAGUUAUAUAAUGCAUGAAAAUUUUUAUGAUUGUAAAUAUGUAGGCAUUUAAGAAAUAAAGUGAAUUAUUUUACCUUACAUCUUUUUAGUAGCUACUUUGGCCAAAUAUAAAUCUUUACUAUGUAUGCUAAAUCUUGGAAAGCACUUAAUAGACAUGAAUUAUGAGAGCAUCUAACAUUGGCAGCAUGAAUCAAAUAAACAUUGUAAAUUCCAUAAUAUGUGGACACUUAAAUGCUUUACCUUUGAGUUGUAUUUUUAUCUACCUCAUUGAAUAAAAUAAUCUUGACUUUGAAACUUUGUAACUCUAUUUUACAG
rnacentral:lncRNA from 1 species